GACGAACGCUGGCGGCGUGCUUAACACAUGCAAGUCGAACGGCAAGGCAGUGCUUUCGUGGGGUGCUCGAGUGGCGAACGGGUGAGUAACACGUGAGUAACCUGCCCUUGACUUUGGGAUAACUUAAGGAAACUGGAGCUACUACCGGAUAGGAGCUGAUGCUGCAUGGUGGGGGUUGGAAAGUUUCGGCGGGCGGGGUUGGAUGCGCGGCUAAUCAGUUUGUUGGUGGGGUAGUGGCAUACCCAGGCCUUGACGGGUAGCCGGCCCGGGAGGGUGACCGGGGACAAGGGGCCUACGGGAGGGCCCAGAGGCGAAUGUUGGACAGCGGGGGCAAACAUGAUACAAUGGGCCCAAGCCGGAGACAACGGCGUCGGGGUUGGAAUGACGGUUUGCUGGGAAUAAACCGCUGCCGCCUGAGACGAAGCGUUUGUGACGGUAACGGAUGAAGAAGCACCGGCUAACUACGUG
rnacentral:rRNA from 1 species